UACUAAGGGUGAGUAUCCCGUUACACUGGAAAAUCCGUUCUAUACCCUUCCCUACUUUAUUUUUCAUUUUCGUUGUUUAAUUCUCAAGCCGACAUACCAUUCACAUAACGUGUAUUACACACACAUAUAUAUAUAUAUAUAAUUAUAGAGAAAGAGAGAAAUAAAUAUUGCAGCAGUAGCAGUAGCAAUAGCGGUAACAGUAACAGUCAAGAUUAACAAGAGUUAGAGUGAGAAAAACAUGUGAAGGAGGUUGAAUUAAGGAGUAAAACUGAUAUUUGUUUAACAACCAAGGUUAUUGUAGACUGCAAAAAAUAUCUGGCUCAUCAAAAAUGCUCAAAAUUCACAAGUGCCUUCAAAAAACUUUAUCCCAAAAUUAUAAAAAUUAAAAAAAAAAAUAAUAA